UGGGGAUAUUGGCACAAUGGAGGAAACUGACUGAUGCAGCAACGCCGCGUGAGGGAAGAAGGUCUUCGGAUUGUAAACCUUAGUAGUCAGGGACGAAAGAAAUGACGGUACCUGAAGAGUAAGCUCCGGCUAACUACGUGCCAGCAGCCGCGGUAAUACGUAGGGAGCGAGCGUUGUCCGGAUUUACUGGGUGUAAAGGGUGCGUAGGCGGGACUGCAAGUCAGACGUGAAAUACCGAGGCUUAACUUCGGGGCUGCGUUUGAAACUGUGGUUCUUGAGUGAAGUAGAGGCAGGCGGAAUUCCUAGUGUAGCGGUGAAAUGCGUAGAUAUUAGGAGGAACACCAGUGGCGAAGGCGGCCUGCUGGGCUUUAACUGACGCUGAAGCACGAAAGCAUGGGGAGCAAACAGGAUUAGAUACCCUGGUAGUCCAUGCCGUAAACGAUGAUAGCUAGGUGUGGGGGGACUGACCCCUUCCGUGCCGCAGCAAACGCAAUAAGCUAUCCA
rnacentral:rRNA from 1 species